rnacentral:tRNA from 1 species
CAGUUAAUAGUUUAAAUAAAAUGACGAAUUUGGAGUUCGUUGAUCAAUCGAUGGUUGUUAACUGA